rnacentral:rRNA from 1 species
GUAUGGGAGAGGAUGACGGAAUUCCUGGUGUAGCGGUGGAAUGCGUAGAUAUCAGGAAGUACACCGGUUGCGAAGGCGGUCAUCAGGCCCAAUACUGACGCUGAGGCUCGAAAGCUGGGGGAGCGAACAGGAUCAGAUACCCUGGUAGUCCCAGCACGUAAACGAUGGACACUAGAUGCUGGAAGAGUCAAUCCACUCAGUGUAGUAGCUAACGCCUUAAGUGUCCCGCCUGGGGAGUACGCUAGCAAGGCUGAAACUCAAAGGAAUCGACGGGGGCCCGCACAAGCGGUGGAGCAUGUGCUUUAAUUCGAUGCAACGCGAAGAACCUUACCUGGGUUUGACAUGGGGGUGAACGUUCCCAGAGAUGGGAGCCUUUCCUUCGGGAACACCCCACACAGGUGCUGCAUGGUUGUCGUCAGCUCGUGUCGUGAGAUGUUGGGUUAAGUCCCGCAACGAGCGCAACCCCUGUCCCUAGUAGCCAGCAGGAUAAUGCCGGGAACUCUAAGGAGACUGCACUGGUAUAACACAGGAGGAAGGUGGGGACGACGUCAAAUCAUCAUGGCCCUUACGUCCAGGGCAAGACACGUGCGACAAUGGCCGCGUACAACGGGAUGCGAACUCGCGAGAGCAAGCCAAUCCCACAAAACCAGGUCUUAGUUCAGGAUUGGAGUCUGCAACUUGACUCCAUGAAGCUGGAAUCGCUAGUAAUCACGGAUCAGCAUGCCGCGGUGAUACGUUCCCGGGCAUUGUACACACCGCCCGUCAAGCCCUGUACGCCGGCAGUGCCCGUAGUCGCUCCUCUAACCCGCCAGGGAAGAGUACGCCGAAGGUAAGCCC